GAUGAACGCUGGCGGCGUGCCUAAUACAUGCAAGUCGAGCGAACAGACGAGGAGCUUGCUCCUCUGACGUUAGCGGCGGACGGGUGAGUAACACGUGGAUAACCUACCUAUAAGACUGGGAUAACGUCGGGAAACCGGAGCUAAUACCGGAUAAUAUAUUGAACCGCAUGGUUCAAUAGUGAAAGACGGUUUUGCUGUCACUUAUAGAUGGAUCCGCGCCGCAUUAGCUAGUUGGUAAGGUAACGGCGUACCAAGGCAACGAUGCGUAGCCGACCUGAGAGGGUGAUCGGCCACACUGGAACUGAGACACGGUCCAGACUCCUACGGGAGGCAGCAGUAGGGAAUCUUCCGCAAUGGGCGAAAGCCUGACGGAGCAACGCCGCGUGAGUGAUGAAGGUCUUCGGAUCGUAAAACUCUGUUAUUAGGGAAGAACAAAUGUGUAAGUAACUAUGCACGUCUUGACGGUACCUAAUCAGAAAGCCCCGGCUAACUACGUG
rnacentral:rRNA from 1 species